rnacentral:misc_RNA from 1 species
CUGGAGAAAAUUAAUUCGUCGGCCCGAACCUUUACAGGGAAUGGUCGCUUAUCCGUCUGGUUUACUUCAUUAUUAUAAAACUCUGAGUUCAAAGUUCAAAGUUCAAAGUUCAAGGUUCAAACCUGGAACAUGGAACCUGAAACCUGGAACUCAAAAGGUUCUUUGACAUGUUGUGAAAAAAGUUAGUAAAAUUUGAGAAUUAACUC